rnacentral:rRNA from 1 species
CGAGUGAAGCGGCAACAGCUCAAAUUUGAAAUCUGGCCCCCCAGCGGGGUCCGAGUUGUAAUUUGCAGAGGAUGCUUUUGGCGAGGCGCCUUCCGAGUGCCCUGGAACGGGACGCCGCAGAGGGUGAGAGCCCCGUACGGUCGGACGCCGAGCCUCUGUAAAGCUCCCUCGACGAGUCGAGUAGUUUGGGAAUGCUGCUCUAAACGGGAGGUAAACCCCUUCUAAAGCUAAAUACCGGCCAGAGACCGAUAGCGCACAAGUAGAGUGAUCGAAAGAUGAAAAGCACUUUGAAAAGAGAGUUAAACAGCACGUGAAAUUGUUGAAAGGGAAGCGCUUGUGGCCAGACUUGCGCCCGGCGGCUCAGCCGUCCCUCGUGGGCGGUGCACUCCGCCGGGCUCAGGCCAGCAUCAGCUCGCUGCUGGGGAGAAAGGCGGUGGGAACGUGGCUCUUCGGAGUGUUAUAGCCCGCCGCCAUGCCCUCCAGCGGGCUGAGGUUCGCGCUCCGCAAGGAUGCUGGCGUAAUGGCCAUCAGCGACCCGUCUUGAAACACGGACCAAGGAGUCGUCCUAGCAUGCGAGUGUUCGGGUGCCAAACCCCUACGCGCAAUGAAAGUGAACGGAGGCGAGAGCUUCGGCGCAU